rnacentral:lncRNA from 1 species
CCCAGACUCUCUUAAUUUUCAGUUUUGCCCCUACCCCAACCCUCUCGGCAAUUAGCCCUGGCUAGGCGAGCAGCCGGCUUGGCCCAACAGAGCCAUGACAAGUCCAAACCCGUGCCAGGCGUGGAGCAGCGGAGCCCGAAGACCUCACACAUCCCCCCCCCCCCCACUCCCACCCCGACUGCGCUCUUUUGCUCCCUGCUCGUAGUCAGGACAUUCCGAGUCGAAAAAAAAUAAGUGCAGGGAGUGGGGAAAGAGCAGAAGACCGUGGAAGGGGAACCUACGAGUCCACUUGGCCCUGCCGCGUGCGUGCUCAGCCCCACGGACCAAGAGCCCGCAUCGCUCAAGGAGACUUUGGCCCCGGAACCUGGACCGGCAGGGUCGCUGCCCCAGACUCGCCACGAGGACACGCAGACAGGCAGGCCCACGUGCGGGCCCCACGCUGACUCGCCGCGAGCGCUCUGUCCCCGCGGGGAGCGGGAGCGAGACAGACCUGGCCCCGUGACUGUGACUGAGGCGUAAACAACCCCCCCCCCCCUCCUCCCAGAUACAGAUACGAUGGGAUUGGUUGCAAGCCCCAGGGGGAGGUAGACGCCAGACCCCAAGAGAAACACUGAUAUGAGACCACCCACAGAUAGUUCUGUGCGGUCACCCAGUUAGGUACAUGCAUGUAUGUAUGACAUCCCCAGCAAGAGAACACCAAACGGCAUUGCACCUUGGAAACGGCCAUUAACUUCUGCUCUAAUCUCAGCCGUUCUCACUCAUUCGCACGGACAUGCGCUCACAAGCUGUUAUCUUCCUCUCUCCACAUCUUUGCAUUCAUAAUCCACGUGCAUACACAUUCCCAGCAAACACAGAAUUAACACAACUGCAAGUCAAACAUUUGCACAUAAAU